rnacentral:rRNA from 1 species
CCCUUAGAUGUUCUGGGCCGCACGCGUGCUACACUGAGUAAUUCAAUGGGUAAGGGAACGCUAGAGCAUUACCUAAUCUUGAAAUUUGCUCGUGAUGGGGAUCGACGGUUGCAAUUUUCCGUCGUGAACGAGGAAUACCUUGUAGGCGCAUGUCAUCAUCAUGCGCCGAAUACGUCCCUGCCCUUUGUACACACCGCCCGUCGCUCCUACCGAUUGAGUGAUCCGGUGAGGCUCUGGGACCUGGACGGAAAGAGCGUUUCGCUUGUUCUGUUUGGGAAACUUGGUCGGACCUUAUCAUUUAGAGGAAGGAGAAGUCGUAACA